UUGAAAUACAAAAUCAAACAUAGGUAUUCUCAUUAGACUCAUAAGGAAAAUACAAAUUUCUAAUUAAAUAUAACAAUCUAAUAGCUGCUAAAACUAGAAACUGAAAAUUAAACAAACUAGUUAUGCAUUUUAAAACCUUUUCAUUUCCAUAGCCAGUUGGAUGGACCCCUGGGCCUUGUACCUUAACCCUUCAGGCCUCACUAAUUUAAAACGCUACUUUCUUUUGGUGAAGAGUUCGAGCAGAGGGAUCUUUACUUUGCCCACCAAGGCCUAGUGAAGGUUCUUGGAUCAGUCUUGGAAUGUGUCCUAAUUACCCUUAAGUAUAAAAACCUACAAUCCAUAGGAUUUUCCAAUAGGAUGCAAAAUUUUUUGUUCUACUUAGGGUUUAUUAAGCCAUACACUUCUGGUGUCUUGCAUAGGGUUCCAAUUUUUUCUAUACAAGAUUCAUCCUUAUAGAUCCUAUUAUCAAAAGGGAUAUUGGUCAUAGGGCUGUCUAUCCCCACGGCAUGGUAGAUUAUCAGAAAUAAAACAAUCUUUUCCUACAUUCCUGUAUGAUAACUGUCCUUAAAAUAGUUUUUCAAACUAGGUUAAUAAUUAAUUUUCUCUCAAACUACAUCUUAGUGAAUAAAAAUAGUGCAAAUAAUUACAAGAGAUUUAGCAAAACAAAAGAAAAUACCAAACAUAGUAAAUUGAAAUACAAAAUCAAA
rnacentral:misc_RNA from 1 species